CAGGACGUCAUAGAGGGUGAGAAUCCCGUAUGUGACUGGCUGCCACGCCCGUGUGAAGCUCCUUCGACGAGUCGAGUUGUUUGGGAAUGCAGCUCAAAAUGGGUGGUAAAUUUCAUCUAAAGCUAAAUAUUGGCCAGAGACCGAUAGCGCACAAGUAGAGUGAUCGAAAGAUGAAAAGCACUUUGGAAAGAGAGUCAAACAGUACGUGAAAUUGUUGAAAGGGAAGCGCUUGCAACCAGACUUGCCCGCGGGUGAUCAGCCGGUAUUUUUACCGGUGCACUCGCCCGUGGUCAGGCCAGCAUCGGUUUGGGUGGCUGGAUAAAGUCCACUGGAAUGUAGCUCCUCUCGGGGAGUGUUAUAGCCAGAGGUGCCAUGCAGCCCGCCCGGACCGAGGACCGCGCUUCGGCUAGGAUGCUGGCGUAAUGGUUGUAAGCGACCCGUCUUGAAACACGGACCAAGGAGUCUAACAUCUAUGCGAGUGUUUGGGUGUCAAACCCAUGCGCGUAAUGAAAGUGAACGGAGGUGGGAACCCUCAAGGGUGCACCAUCGACCGAUCCUGAUGUCUUCGGAUGGAUUUGAGUAAGAGCAUAGCUGUUGGGACCCGAAAGAUGGUGAACUAUGCCUGAAUAGGGUGAAGCCAGAGGAAACUCUGGUGGAGGCUCGCAGCGGUUCUGACGUGCAAAUCGAUCGUC
rnacentral:rRNA from 1 species